UGUUUUCCUGAGCUCUUUUCUGGAAGACCACAUGUUGUAUAUGGCUCCAACAAAGAAAGAAAAACAGUCAAGGUUUUAGCCCUGCCAGCAAUCCUGUCCCAGCUCAGACAGCCCAGCCUGCCUGCCUCUCCAUCCAUGCAGUAUGCAUACACAUACGCGCACCUUCCUGCCCGCAUCCAGCUCUCCUGUCAGAGGAUUCUGUCUUUGAACUGAACAAAGCCCUCACAAGCCAUGCUAUGAGUUGAGUCGCUUACCUCUGUCUCGGGAGGAGUUUAUCUCCCUUGACAAGGUUUUGUCUGGUGUUAGCAGCGGGGCUGAUGACAGGCUGUGCAUGCAGCAGCAUGUGACCCCGGCUCCUGGCCUCGGCGCAGGCAGUCGUCAGAGCUGUCACGCAGUCAGAACAAGUUAAUUCAAUGCGUGAAGGGCGAGGUGCGAGCUGUAAUAAUAUCAGGCCUCUGGAGAGGGUGCUGUCAUACAGCGUGUACUGGCGGCUGCCCCAGCU
rnacentral:lncRNA from 1 species